CGCAGGUGCGCCCGGCCCGCCCUCCGCGCAGGUGAGGUGGACGGCCAGGUGCCCGGCGUCCGCCCAGAGGCCUCGGUUCAGUUCCGCCACCACCCAGGUGACCUGAGACGGCUCCGCCCCUGCGUGGCGCCCUUCCCAGGUGGUGGGAGAAACCACAAAGGAGGGGAAAAAAUGCUGUGGACUCCACGUGACAUUUUUUCAGAUUGCCUGCUUGACCAGCCUGUUCCUAGGAGAUCUAGCUGAUAGCCACAGUCAAGGACAUUUGACUUGCUUGGUCUAAGAAAGGUGAACUAGACGGAUUUAUCAAGUAUGUAAAAACUGAUUAGCUCUAAGUGUUGCCUGGUACUCUGUUUUUGUUUGUUUUGUUGUUUUUGAAUCUAGGUUGAUUAGAGUCCACCAGAGCCUAGUUCAUGUAUUAAAUCCUCCUUAGCUACCGAAGCCCACGCACAUCUCCAGCUCCUAAAGUGCCAAUAACUUCAGUCUGCCUCUGUUAAACUUCCACACCUGUAUUACGUAUUGCGCUCAGGAACCGCUCAAAACCCACCGAAAUUUGGAAAGUUUAAAUACUUGUUUAAAAUAGUUUUAAAAGUUGUCUUCCAAGUUUUCAGCCCUCUGCUAAACAGUGUAGAAGACAAAAGGAAGUGAGAAGAAACUGGAGCCUUUGUCAUCCCCCCAGAGGGUGCUGUCCAGGCUGCUGUUCCGUAUGUCAACCUGACACAAACUAGAGUUAUCUGAGGAGGGUGAUCACUGGCCGGUAGGCAAGUCUGUGGGGUAUUGUUGGUUAAUGAAUGCAGUGUUUGCUGCCACCUUUGGGCAGAUAGCCCUGGAAUACAUAAGAGAACAAGGAACUGGGAGGUGGCGGACACCUUUAAUCCCAGCACUUGGGAGGCACAGGCAGGUGAGUCUCAGUAAAUUCAAGGACAGCCUGACCUACAAAGCGAGUUACAGGAUAGUGAGGACUGUUACACAGAAAUGCUGUCUGGGGGGACCCGUGGGAAGCAAUCCAGUAAGCAAUGUUCCUCCAUGUCUUCUGCUUUAGUUCCCACCUCCAGGCUCCUGUCCUAGCUUCCUUUGGUGAUGGCCCGUGAUGUGGAAGAGCUAAGCCCUAUCCUCCCCAGGCUGCUUUUCGCCGUGGUAUUUUUAUCACAGGAGUAGACAGGCACAUAUUCCUUAGGGUUAAGAAUCAAAGCAGCCAUAUAUCAAGCUGUACACACUGGUCAAAAGUGAGACCCCAGCCCUCUAACACCCCUAUAUCCAAAGAGUCUGGAAUGUAAUAUUGAGUUGGAAGUGUCACCCCAGACCCUGGCCUGGGAAUUGCCAAGUACUUGGACUCCAAUUCCCAACCUGCCAAGUGCUUGGACUCCAACUCCCAGCCUGCCAAGUGCUGACCCCUUCCUGGGGGGGGGUCAGGACCACUCCCACAGGGUAUUUAGGUUUGCAAUGAAAAAAGGAACACAUGGUUUUGGGUUUUAUGUGUACUCUCUCUCUGUCUCUCCCCCCCCCACCCCCCCGGGCUCCCAGCCACCCAAGAGUGUCACAUUUAUUAAAGGGGCAUUUGUAAUUCAGUUCAGUCUGGUUUGAUUGGAGUUCUUUGAGCCUGGCGAAGAGGCCCAUCUUAAGAUUUUUCUUAACACAUUCAAGACUGGCACUAAAAUUAAAAAGCAAAAUUAUUUUAACAGUGGAAAGUUGAUUUUCUUCCAUUGAAUGGAUGUAGGUAGAAAGUGCUAGCUGUUAGAAUAUUGCGGAAGACCCCGCUGUCUUCAAUUCUACCUCUAGCCCUUUUAAGUCCCCAGAGUAUGGUCCAUUCCCCCUUACACUCUUUCUUUCUUCUGACACAAGAAUAAGCAGAUCUCUUUACCCUUCUGGUGACUUUCUCCCACCCUUCUGUCGGAUCAGGCUGCAGGAAGGAAUUGGUUCUCACAACUUUAUCUGAUGGAUCUUCAGCCGACGGCUGCAUGGCUGCCAAACCCCUGGAAGCUCACCUGAGGAACUCAGGGCCUUUUCUCCUUGACCCUUCUUCCCUGAUUUCCCAAAGGCGAUAGUUUACUCAUUCUGCUGAUUAAGGUAAAAAUAAAACAGUGCUGUUUCCCAAGUGGCCUGCUGUCCACGAUGGGCAGUGGAUCCCAGGCAGGGAAUACCUCAGUAUAGAUGGCGGGACGUGGCCACCUGAUCUGGCCAUCAGUUAAGAUGGCAGCAAAGUCACCUGGCCCUCAAUUAAGAUGGCGGUAAGGUCACCUGACCUCAGUCAAAAUGGCAGCGGUCACAUGUUGUAUGGAAAAGCCAUGUUUUUUGAGCCGAGGGAGUUUUAAAGAUAAUUACAAGAGAGACCUAGAGGCAUGAUCUGCCCUGUCACUGAGCCACUGCGCCACAAGCCAUGGUGGGGAACAAAGUCUGGAAUUGAAAACAGCUGCCUCCUGGAUCUGACCAAUCUUGUUGGCAGCAGUAGCGGUGGCAGGGACAGUUUAAGGAAAAAUGGAGUCGGUGGGAUACCUGCGGAGCAUUUACAGGUGGUUUAUACCAUAGCUGAAGAUGUGAAAACUUGCAAAAACACCAUAGGGCCUAUAGGAGGACGCAAAGCCUACAGGAAGACGUCUCUUCUCUACAUGCAGGGUGUUAAAGCUUGACUGGCUCCGGUCUGGGUGAUUCAGAAGCCAGCGUGUGCAGUGCUAGCAUGGGAGGAAUAACCCUGGGUAGUGUGAUCGUGUUUUUAGCUAUGGAAAGCAACCAGAGAUGUAUGUCAGCGAAGGGCUCAACCAUAGCCUUGAAGGCUGUGGUUGGCUGACUAGAAGGGGAAAACUCACCACUGAAGCCACUAGUGUGUGUAGAGGUUGAUGUUAGGCAGAUAGAAAACCGAGCUGUUAUAAAGAAAUCUUUACAACCUGGUUCUGGGGCCCAGGGUUCCAAGUUUCCUCAGCCAACCCACCUGUGGGCAGGAGGAAAUACGGAGAGAGCCUGGCCGAGUCACAAGCACCAAUGUGUACACACUUCUCAGAGGGACAAGUGGCAUUCAGCCACCCAAGAUUGAACAAUAACAGGUAUAAGAGACACUAGACAUUAACACCAGACAGCAACAAAGAGACCAGCUACUCCAGGAUGUGAGCAAGACCCAACUUUCUCAGGUUCCCCCCAAGAUAAUGCCCACAAAUAAGCAGGAAGCAGUCUUGAGAAUCUGCCACCCCAAUU